rnacentral:rRNA from 1 species
GAUGAACGCUGGCGGCGUGCCUAAUACAUGCAAGUCGAGCGAACGGACGAGGAGCUUGCUCCUCUGACGUUAGCGGCGGACGGGUGAGUAACACGUGGAUAACCUACCUAUAAGACUGGGAUAACUUCGGGAAACCGGAGCUAAUACCGGAUAAUAUAUUGAACCGCAUGGUUCAAUAGUGAAAGACGGUUUUGCUGUCACUUAUAGCUGGAUCCGCGCCGCAUUAGCUAGUUGGUAAGGUAACGGCUUACCAAGGCAACGAUGCGUAGCCGACCUGAGAGGGUGAUCGGCCACACUGGAACUGAGACACGGUCCAGACUCCUACGGGAGGCAGCAGUAGGGAAUCUUCCGCAAUGGGCGAAAGCCUGACGGAGCAACGCCGCGUGAGUGAUGAAGGUCUUCGGAUCGUAAAACUCUGUUAUUAGGGAAGAACAAAUGUGUAAGUAACUAUGCACGUCUUGACGGUACCUAAUCAGAAAGCCACGGCUAACUACGUG